UACGUAGGGUGCGAGCGUUAAUCGGAAUUACUGGGCGUAAAGGGUGCGUAGGCGGUUGUUUAAGUCUGCCGUGAAAUCCCCGGGCUCAACCUGGGAAUGGCGGUGGAUACUGGAUAGCUAGAGUGUGUCAGAGGAUGGUGGAAUUCCCGGUGUAGCGGUGAAAUGCGUAGAGAUCGGGAGGAACAUCAGUGGCGAAGGCGGCCAUCUGGGACAACACUGACGCUGAAGCACGAAAGCGUGGGGAGCAAACAGGG
rnacentral:rRNA from 1 species